AGAGCGAAUGCUGGCGGCAGGCCUAAUACAUGCAAGUCGAACGGACCCUUCGGGGUUAGUGGCGGACGGGUGAGUAACACGUGGGAACGUGCCCUUUGGUUCGGAACAACUCAGGGAAACUUGAGCUAAUACCGAAUGUGCCCCCAUCCUUAAACAAGAUGGGUGGGAAAGAUUUAUCGCCAUUGGAGCGGCCCGCGUCUGAUUAGCUAGUUGGUGAGGUAAAGGCUCACCAAGGCGACGAUCAGUAGCUGGUCUGAGAGGAUGAUCAGCCACACUGGGACUGAGACACGGCCCAGACUCCUACGGGAGGCAGCAGUAGGGAAUCUUGCGCAAUGGGCGAAAGCCUGACGCAGCCAUGCCGCGUGAAUGAUGAAGGUCUUAGGAUUGUAAAAAUUCUUUCAGCGGGGACGAUAAUGACGGUACCCGCAGAAGAAGCCCCGGCUAACUUCGUGCCAGCAGCCGC
rnacentral:rRNA from 1 species